rnacentral:rRNA from 1 species
GUCGAACGAACUCUGGUAUUGAUUGGUGCUUGCAUCAUGAGUUUACAUUUGAGUGAGUGGCGAACUGGUGAGUAACACGUGGGAAACCUGCCCAGAAGCGGGGGAUAACACCUGGAAACAGAUGCUAAUACCGCAUAACAACUUGGACCGCAUGGUCCGAGCUUGAAAGAUGGCUUCGGCUAUCACUUUUGGAUGGUCCCGCGGCGUAUUAGCUAGAUGGUGGGGUAACGGCUCACCAUGGCAAUGAUACGUAGCCGACCUGAGAGGGUAAUCGGCCACAUUGGGACUGAGACACGGCCCAAACUCCUACGGGAGGCAGCAGUAGGGAAUCUUCCACAAUGGACGAAAGUCUGAUGGAGCAACGCCGCGUGAGUGAAGAAGGGUUUCGGCUCGUAAAACUCUGUUGUUAAAGAAGAACAUAUCUGAGAGUAACUGUUCAGGUAUUGACGGUAUUUAACCAGAAAGCCACGGCUAACUACGUGCCAGCAGCCGCGGUAAUACGUAGGUGGCAAGCGUUGUCCGGAUUUAUUGGGCGUAAAGCGAGCGCAGGCGGUUUUUUAAGUCUGAUGUGAAAGCCUUCGGCUCAACCGAAGAAGUGCAUCGGAAACUGGGAAACUUGAGUGCAGAAGAGGACAGUGGAACUCCAUGUGUAGCGGUGAAAUGCGUAGAUAUAUGGAAGAACACCAGUGGCGAAGGCGGCUGUCUGGUCUGUAACUGACGCUGAGGCUCGAAAGUAUGGGUAGCAAACAGGAUUAGAUACCCUGGUAGUCCAUACCGUAAACGAUGAAUGCUAAGUGUUGGAGGGUUUCCGCCCUUCAGUGCUGCAGCUAACGCAUUAAGCAUUCCGCCUGGGGAGUACGGCCGCAAGGCUGAAACUCAAAGGAAUUGACGGGGGCCCGCACAAGCGGUGGAGCAUGUGGUUUAAUUCGAAGCUACGCGAAGAACCUUACCAGGUCUUGACAUACUAUGCAAAUCUAAGAGAUUAGACGUUCCCUUCGGGGACAUGGAUACAGGUGGUGCAUGGUUGUCGUCAGCUCGUGUCGUGAGAUGUUGGGUUAAGUCCCGCAACGAGCGCAACCCUUAUUAUCAGUUGCCAGCAUUAAGUUGGGCACUCUGGUGAGACUGCCGGUGACAAACCGGAGGAAGGUGGGGAUGACGUCAAAUCAUCAUGCCCCUUAUGACCUGGGCUACACACGUGCUACAAUGGAUGGUACAACGAGUUGCGAACUCGCGAGAGUAAGCUAAUCUCUUAAAGCCAUUCUCAGUUCGGAUUGUAGGCUGCAACUCGCCUACAUGAAGUCGGAAUCGCUAGUAAUCGCGGAUCAGCAUGCCGCGGUGAAUACGUUCCCGGGCCUUGUACACACCGCCCGUCACACCAUGAGAGUUUGUAACACCCAAAGUCGGUGGGGUAACCUUUUAGGAACCAGCCGCCUAA